rnacentral:rRNA from 1 species
GACGUAGGAUGCAAGCGUUGUCCGGAAUUAUUGGGCGUAAAGAGUUCGUAGGCGGUUGCCUAAGUCUGAUGUUAAAUACUAGAGCUCAACUCUGGCAUGGCAUUGGAAACUGGGCGGCUAGAGUGCGGUAGAGGUCACGGGAAUUCCAGGUGUAGCGGUGAAAUGCGUAGAUAUCUGGAGGAACACCGGUGGCGAAAGCGCGUGACUGGGCCGUAACUGACGCUGAGGAACGAAAGCCAGGGGAGCGAAAGGG